GACGAACGCUGGCGGCGUGCUUAACACAUGCAAGUCGAACGAAGUGGCGAACGGGUGAGUAACGCGUAAUCAACCUGCCCUUCAGAGGGGGACAACAGUUGGAAACGACUGCUAAUACCGCAUACUGAAGGAGGGGAUUGCGUCUGAUUAGCUAGUUGGAGGGGUAACGGCCCACCAAGGCGAUGAUCAGUAGCCGGGCAGGAGGGAUGAACGGCAAAAUUGGGACUGGGAAACGGCCCAGGAACCUACUGGAGGCAGCAGUGGGGAAUCUUCCGCAAUGGACGAAAGUCUGACGGAGCAACGCCGCGUGGGUGAUGAAGGCCUUCGGGUUGGAAAGCUCUGUUAAUCGGGACGCGGUACCGGAAGAGAAAGCCACGGCUAACUACGUGCCAGCCGCCGCGGUAAUUC
rnacentral:rRNA from 1 species